rfam:Paramecium tetraurelia chromosome undetermined scaffold_14, whole genome shotgun sequence.
GGGGUAGUAGCUCAUUUAGUAGAGCGCGUGAUUUGCAUUCACGAGGCGCCGAGAGCGAAGCUCGGCUACUCCA